rnacentral:rRNA from 1 species
GAUGAACGCUGGCGGCGUGCUUAACACAUGCAAGUCGAACGGAAAGGCUCCUGCUUGCAGGGGUACUCGAGUGGCGAACGGGUGAGUAACACGUGGGUGAUCUGCCCUGCACUUCGGGAUAAGCCUGGGAAACUGGGUCUAAUACCGGAUAGGACGAUGGUUUGGAUGCCAUUGUGGAAAGUUUUUUCGGUGUGGGAUGAGCUCGCGGCCUAUCAGCUUGUUGGUGGGGUAAUGGCCUACCAAGGCGUCGACGGGUAGCCGGCCUGAGAGGGUGUACGGCCACAUUGGGACUGAGAUACGGCCCAGACUCCUACGGGAGGCAGCAGUGGGGAAUAUUGCACAAUGGGCGCAAGCCUGAUGCGGCGACGCCGCGUGGGGGAUGACGGCCUUCGGGUUGUAAACUCCUUUCGCUAGGGACGAAGCGCAAGUGACGGUACCUGGAGAAGAAGCACCGGCUAACUACGUG